rnacentral:rRNA from 1 species
CCUACGGGAGGCAGCAGUGGGGAAUUUUGGACAAUGGGGGCAACCCUGAUCCAGCCAUGCCGCGUGAGUGAAGAAGGCCUUCGGGUUGUAAAGCUCUUUCAGCCGGGAAGAAAACGCACUCUCUAACAUAGGGUGUGGAUGACGGUACCGGAAGAAGAAGCACCGGCUAACUACGUGCCAGCAGCCGCGGUAAUACGUAGGGUGCGAGCGUUAAUCGGAAUUACUGGGCGUAAAGGGUGCGCAGGCGGUUUUGUAAGACAGAUGUGAAAUCCCCGGGCUUAACCUGGGAACUGCGUUUGUGACUGCAAGGCUAGAGUACGGCAGAGGGGGGUGGAAUUCCGCGUGUAGCAGUGAAAUGCGUAGAUAUGCGGAGGAACACCGAUGGCGAAGGCAACCCCCUGGGCCUGUACUGACGCUCAUGCACGAAAGCGUGGGGAGCAAACAGGAUUAGAUACCCUGGUAGUCCACGCCCUAAACGAUGUCAACUAGUCGUUCGGAGCAGCAAUGCACUGAGUGACGCAGCUAACGCGUGAAGUUGACCGCCUGGGGAGUACGGCCGCAAGGUUAAAACUCAAAGGAAUUGACGG